GAGUUUCCAGCUCCUGGUUUCAGCCCCAGCCACGGCUAUAAGCUCUUCAAGAUCCAGUGUACCAAAUGCACUAGCCAGCACAUGCUUGUCUACUGAUUCCUUCUUACUAGCAAUUCAGAUGUGGCAAAAAAUAAGAAGUGCAACAUUCCAUUCAACAACUUCAAACAACAUCCAUAAACAGUGAUUUGGUCACGUGAUUAGACUGACCAAGCAAACAAUUAUCUGUGUUGCCAAAUGUCUGUUGAAUCAAGUGAAACAGUUUCUUUUCAGAACAAACAGAGCUUUCAGAUUAUAAUGUACUCUCACCUCCAGUCUCACAUCAAUUUAAGGCACAAAGAAUUCCCAAAAUGGA